GAGAAUCCUGAUCUUUUAUCAGUAAAUGGGUGUGGCCCCUCCCUAGUAGUUCCCUUCCAGUUCAGAAUCACGCUAAUUUUGCCAUUUCUUAUUCCUGUUCUUGUUGUUAUCUCUGCAGUUACUGCUAUUAAUCUACUCACUCAUCUUCAACUAUCUAAGCACAGAAACCCCCUCUAGCUUGUUCCUCCAUUUGGAUUGCAACUAUGGCUGAGAAAAUAACAGCAGAGAAAUUUUUAAACAACCUGGUAGAAACCCUUGCUGACAGUAUUCCGAAGCAGAAAUCUGUGUCAUUCUUUGAGGAAGAGACAAGCUCAGUAACUUCUAAAUUCAAUCGGCUUUUUGGACGUCAGAAGCCAGUCCAUCAUCUUCUGGGAGGUGGAAAAUCUGCUGAUGUUCUCCUAUGGAGGAAUAAGAAAAUCUCAGCUAGUGUGCUAUCUGGUGCAACAGCCAUCUGGGUGCUUUUUGAGUGGCUUAAUUACCAUCUUCUGACUCUCAUAUGCCUUGCAUUGGUUCUUGGUAUGCUUGCCCAAUUUGUUUGGACAGUUGCUUCGGGAUUAUUUAACAGCAAUAGAUCCUCAUCUAAGGUCCCCCGCCUUGUACUACCUGAUGAGGUAUUUGUCAGUGUUGGGAGAUCAAUAGGAAUUGAGGUUAAUCAUGCUUUGAAGUUUCUUCAGGAUGUAUCAAGUGGAGGAAAUUUGAAACAAUUUCUUGCGAUUGUAGCUAGCUUGUGGGCUGCCGCUGUCAUUGGGAGCUGGUGCAAUUUUCU
rnacentral:misc_RNA from 1 species